CACGAGCCAAGCCGUGAUUCAGUGGAGGAAGCAGGGGCUGUGGAGGCGGUUGCUGCCGAGUGGUAAAAUAUCACUUGCGUUUUGUUGGUGCACAGAGGACCAUAUGGUGGCCAGACAAGAUAGGCUGGAAAACGAGACUUCUCUUUCCAAAUCAUCCUUCUCUAAAACCCAGGAAUCCAAAUUAUCUUGACGGAGGAAGUCCUGGGUACAUCAAGGAGGGAUUCCUGGCAGUGCAGCAUGCCGUGGACAAGAGCAUCAUGCUGUAUCAUGAAAGCCGUGCUGGGAAAGAGCUCUUUGAAAACAUUGACACUCUGGUACAGAGGUUUCCAUACCCAAGUCAUCCCCAGGACAAACUACUUUGGAUCUCCAGUCCCUUCAUCCCACUAAUGUUCAUACUCAUGUUCUCUU
rnacentral:lncRNA from 1 species